rnacentral:misc_RNA from 1 species
UCAACCUGGGUGGGCUGCUGG